rnacentral:sRNA from 1 species
AGAAGCUGGAAGAGGCAUGGGAAUGGAGCCAUGGCCCAUGUUAGGCUUCUGUCCCACAGGACGGUGCCUGCUGCCGGCCGUGUGCUGGAUACUAGGGGCUGCGGACAGGUGCAGAAGUCAGUCACAUCCUGAGCUUGACCUUUAAGGAGGGUGCUGUCUGUGGAGGCGGGAUGGCCUAACCAGACUCCCUGUGACCUUCCUCCUUGCUGAUUUCCUUGUACUGCCACCCCCAGGAGAUUUGCCAUGGAAUCUGCAGAGGGACCACAGAGCACCAGCCUGCAUGGAACUUCCUUCUUUCACUCAGCUUCCCACCUUGCCAGCUGGGACAGGGGAGAUGGAGUAGUUUUGCUCUGGAAAGACUUCACGUCUUGCCGAAUGAAAGAGCAAAGCUACUGCUAGGGUCGGGGGUUCAUCAAGCCAAGGGAGUACGAAUGCCCACAAAGUAGUGAAAUGCUAUUUCUUCUGGAAAAGUCAGCCUCCAGCGCCUGCAGCUUCAGGAACUAAGAUGUGACUGUGCUUGCAGAGGCGCUGACUUCUCC